rnacentral:rRNA from 1 species
ACGCUCGACACCUACGGGAGCAGCAGUGAGGAAUAUUGGUCAAUGGGCGCAGGCCUGAACCAGCCAAGUAGCGUGAAGGAUGACUGCCCUAUGGGUUGUAAACUUCUUUUAUAUGGGAAUAAAGUUUUCCACGUGUGGAAUUUUGUAUGUACCAUAUGAAUAAGGAUCGGCUAACUCCGUGGCAGCAGCCGCGGUAAUCUGAGCGGGCUGGCAAGGC